rnacentral:rRNA from 1 species
CUGACCGUGCAAAGGUAGCGUAAUCACUUGUCUUAUAAUUGAAGACUGGAAUGAAUGGUUUGACAAGAAUACUUCUGUCUCUUUAUAAUUUUAUAGAACUUAAUUUUUAGGUGAAGAAGCCUAAGUAAAAUUGAAAGACAAGAAGACCCUAUCGAGCUUUAAGUAAAUUAGUAACCUAAGAAUAAUAUGAGAUAGAGAUAUAAGUUACUAAAAAAUUUUGGUUGGGGCGACAAAGGAACAUAAAAAGCUUCCUUUAUUUAGUUGUAUAUUUUCAAAUCUGGAUCCAAAUUUUUGUUGAUUAGAGAAAAUAGUUACCGUAGGGAUAACAGCAUAAUCUUUUUUGAGAGCUCAUAUUGAAAAAAAGGUUUGUGACCUCGAUGUUGGAUCAGAAUACCCUAAAGAUGCAGAAGUCUUUAAGGUUGGUC